rnacentral:rRNA from 1 species
AUUGAACGCUGGCGGCAGGCCUAACACAUGCAAGUCGAACGAGUGGCGGACGGGGGAGUAAUGUCUGGGAAACUGCCUGAUGGAGGGGGAUAACUACUGGAAACGGUAGCUCAUACCACAUACCAUCGGAUGUGCCCAGAUGGGAUUAGCUAGUAGGUGGGGGAACGGCUCACCUGGGCGACGACCCCUAGCUGGUCUGAGAGGAGGACCAGCCACACUGGAACGGAGACAAGCGCCAGACUCCUACGGGAGGCAGCAGUGGGGAAUAUUGCAAAAUGGGCGCAAGCAUGAUGCAGCCAUGCCGCGUGUAUGAAGAAGGCCUUCGGGUUGUAAAGUACUUUCAGCGGGGAGGCGUUACCCGCAGAAGAAGCACCGGCUAACUCCGUGCCAGCAGCCGCGGUAAUAC